rnacentral:rRNA from 1 species
GACGAACGCUGGCGGCGUGCCUAAUACAUGCAAGUUGAGCGAUGAAGAUUGGUGCUUGCACCAAUUUGAAGAGCAGCGAACGGGUGAGUAACGCGUGGGGAAUCUGCCUUUGAGCGGGGGACAACAUUUGGAAACGAAUGCUAAUACCGCAUAACAACUUUAAACAUAAGUUUUAAGUUUGAAAGAUGCAAUUGCAUCACUCAAAGAUGAUCCCGCGUUGUAUUAGCUAGUUGGUGAGGUAAAGGCUCACCAAGGCGAUGAUACAUAGCCGACCUGAGAGGGUGAUCGGCCACAUUGGGACUGAGACACGGCCCAAACUCCUACGGGAGGCAGCAGUAGGGAAUCUUCGGCAAUGGACGAAAGUCUGACCGAGCAACGCCGCGUGAGUGAAGAAGGGUUUCGGAUCGUAAAACUCUGUUGGUAGGGAAGAACGUUGGUGAGAGUGGAAAGCUCAUCAAGUGACGGUAACUACCCAGAAAGGGACGGCUAACUACGUG